rnacentral:misc_RNA from 1 species
GCGUCGCUAGGUGCUUAAAAAUAUUCUAGACUCGGGGAUUCGGGGCACUGUCAAAUAAAAUCGGGGCGUGGGCCUAGCGACACCUCUUUGUUAACUGAUGGUUGAUUUCCUUUUUCUGAAUUGUUGAAAGAAUGUUUUUCUCUUUGUCGUAUUUUGUGGAAAAUUUGUUGUAACGACGAUAAAACAUCUAAAUCCUUAUCAUCAUCUUGCUCAGUUGGAUUUUAAAAAAUCGUGGUGACAGGAAGUUGAGCUGAUGCUUUUGUAAAACAAAAAAUACAUAAGGGGACUGAAAACCAUUUAGAGGUUCAAAGUGCUGAAAAUAAGUGAUGGCUUCAUUUGAACUUGUUCCUGGUUGCUGGGUUGGAGGUAAUUGUCCAUGUUUUAUCAUAGCUGAGAUUGGACAGAAUCAUCAAGGUGACAUCAACAUUGCCAAAAAUAUGAUUGAAGUUGCCAAGAAGUGUGGAGCUAACUGUGUGAAAUUCCAGAAAUCAGACCUGAAUAGUCGAUUUAACAAAGCAGCUCUUGACAGACCUUACACAAGCCACCAUUCCUGGGGGAAUACAUAUGGACAACACAGAGCUCACUUAGAAUUCAGUGAGAGCCAGUUCAAAGAAUUAAAAAAACAUGCAGAAAGGCAUGAAAUAAUCUUUUCUGCUUCUGGGAUGGACAUGGUUUCAUUGAGGUUCUUGAACCAGUUAGGUGUUCCAUUCUUUAAAAUAGGUUCUGGUGAUGCAAAUAACUAUUCUUUGAUACAGGAUGUUGCAAGAUUUGGAAAACCUUUAAUUGUAUCCACAGGCAUGCAAUCCAUAGACACAGUGCAGAAAGUAUAUUAUUUGUUAAAACAGUUCAACAUUAAACUUGGUUUUCUACACUGUGUUAGUGCUUACCCAGCUCCUCCUUCUGAUAUAAAUCUUCGGGUUAUCCAGAGUUAUCAGGAAAAGUUUCCAGAUGUUGUCAUUGGUUAUUCAGGACAUGAAACUGGGACUGACAUCAGUAUUGCAGCUGUUGCCUUAGGAGCUAAGAUCCUUGAGCGCCAUCUCACAUUGGAUAAAACAUGGAAAGGUAGUGACCACUGUGCAUCUCUUGAUCCAGAGGAAUUUCAGCAGUUAGUGUCUCAAGUUAGAAAUGUUGAAACAGCCUUAGGUUCACAUAUUAAAAUCGUGAGAGAGUCUGAAAUUGCUUGCUACAGAAAGAAGGGCUCAGUCACUUCAACUGACAUUGCAACCACCAAUCCACAGGUUAGUUCAGUUACUUUAAAACCCAACUGACAAGAAGAAUUCUUCCCCUCUAUCUCUCUCACUAUACAAUCUGGGAUAAAUUCACUUACGUUACCCCAUGGGUUACCACAGUUGUAUCCAGAACUUCAAAUAACUGUCUCCUUUUGUCAACGUCCACACAGAUGGGUUCAAUUACUUUAGAACACCCUUCGACAAGACAAAUUAUUCUUUUUAUCUCUGUUUUUGUCUUUUUUGAUGUCUGUCCUAUGAAGAAACGUAACCAUAAUUUCUCGUAAGUAUAUUAAAUAUUCAAUAACAUCCUUUUUGUUUUUUAAAAAUAAUAAUAUUCUUCCUUUUAGCUAUAAGUUGGUUGUUGUCAGUUGGGCUAUCAGCUGUGUCCACCAUAGGGAACUGUUGUAAGUCUGUAAACUUACUGUUGCCCCACUAAGGGGCUUAGCCAUAAGCCCUUCAAGUAGUGGAGAUACUUUUUUCAUAAAAAUAUAGCUUUUUAAACUUGAUAACACAAGGGCAAUGAAAAAAAAAUUGUUGGCAGCUUUGAAGCAUUUACCAUGUAAAUAAUCUAAAUAUUCAGUAACUUCCUUUUUAUAUAUAAAAUUGUUCAUAUUUGUUAAUAGUGAAUUUUUUAAGUUAACAUGCCAUGCAUUUAUAUAUUAUAUCCUUAAAUCUGCUUACAAAUCCUUUAAAUAGGUUUAACUUUUCUUUCUUAAACCUAUUAUGAUGAACGUUGAGUGUCUAACAAAUUACUUGUUUUGUGCAUUGCAGAUAACUUUAGUACAUUCGCAAUAUUUACCUUUUUCUCAUCAGGUGUAAGAUAUUCUAAGCUUGGCAAAACACUGGUAGCUUCACAAAAUUUACAGUGUGGAACAGUUCUCUCAGAAGACAUGCUUGACAUAAAAGUUUCUGAACCUAAGGGACUAAAUGCAGACCAGUUCUAUAAUGUUAUAGGCCAUACUCUGAU